rnacentral:rRNA from 1 species
GAUCCUGGCUCAGGACGAACGCUGGCGGCGUGCUUAACACAUGCAAGUCGAACGAAGAGCGAUGGGAGCUUGCUCCUAUCAAUUUUAGUGGCGAACGGGUGAGUAACGCGUAAUCAACCUGCCCUUCAAUGGGGGACAACAGUUGGAAACGACUGCUAAUACCGCAUACGAUCGUAAUUCGGCAUCGAGAUACGAUGAAAGGUGGCCUCUAUUUAUAAGCUAUCGCUGAAGGAGGGGAUUG